rnacentral:rRNA from 1 species
GACGAACGCUGGCGGCGUGCUUAACACAUGCAAGUCGAACGGAAAGGCUCCAGCUUGCUGGAGUACUCGAGUGGCGAACGGGUGAGUAACACGUGGGUAAUCUGCCCUGCACUCUGGGAUAAGCCUGGGAAACUGGGUCUAAUACUGGAUAUGACCUUUCUCCUUAUGGGGUUUGGUGGAAAGUUUUUCGGUGUAGGAUGAGCCCGCGGCCUAUCAGCUUGUUGGUGGGGUGAUGGCCUACCAAGGCGACGACGGGUAGCCGGCCUGAGAGGGUGAUCGGCCACAUUGGGACUGAGAUACGGCCCAGACUCCAACGGGAGGCAGCGGUGGGGAAUAUUGCACAAUGGGCGGAAGCCUGAUGCAGCGACGCCGCGUGAGGGAUGACGGCCUUCGGGUUGUAAACCUCUUUCAGCAGGGACGAAGCGUAAGUGACGGUACCUGCAGAAGAAGCACCGGCUAACUAUGUG